rnacentral:rRNA from 1 species
GUGUCAGCAGCCGCGGUAAUACGUGGGGUGCAAGCGUUGUUCGGAAUUACUGGGCGUAAAGCGCGUGUAGGCGGCCCAUUAUGUCAGGUGUGAAAGCCCUCGGCCUAACCGAGGAAGUGCGCCUGAAACUGAUAGGCUUGAGUACGAGAGAGGAGGACGGAAUUCCCAGUGUAGAGGUGAAAUUCGUAGAUAUUGGGAGGAACACCGGCGGCGAAAGCGGUUCUCUGGAUCGAUACUGACGCUAAGACGCGAAAGCGUGGGGAGCAAACAGGAUUAGAAACCCUUGUAGUCC